UACGGAGGGUGCAAGCGUUAUCCGGAUUCACUGGGUUUAAAGGGUGGCGUAGGCGGGCAGGUAAGUCAGGGGUGAAAUCUUCGAGCUUAACUCGGAAACUGCCUUUGAUACUAUCUGUCUUGAAUAUGGUGGAGGUAAGCGGGAAUAUGUCAUGUAGCGGUGAAAUGCUUAGAUAUGACAUAGAACACCUAUUGCGAAGGCAGCUUACUACGCCUAAUAUUGACGCUGGAGGCACGAAGCGUCGGGGAUCAAACAGG
rnacentral:rRNA from 1 species